AUAAAUCCACACUUCAAGAUAUUUCAUGUAUCUUGAAACCCCAUUAGAGUUGCAUAAUUCAGAGACAACUUGAUGGUGCAUAGCAGCUACCAAUGAAAACAAACUAGAGCAACACUUCUACGUUCACCUUUUGUUCAAGCAUCUCUUGGAGAAGGACAUGGAUCUUCCAGCUAGUUCUCCAAAAGAAAAGACUCCAGCUUAUGAAAAUGUGGGCUGAUGUCGCCUGCAAGCAGAGGCUUAAAAUAAUGGUGUCAAAAAGAAUCAGAGAGUCUCAUUUUCACACCACAGAACCAGCACUCCAGUCCCUUUAGGUCCAUGGCUCACCUGAAUGCUUCUGCAGAAAAGAGGAAAAGACUGACUGGCUGGAUAUGUACAGUACAAAAAAUCGAGGGUGGGGAGCUUUGUCCCAAAGGCAGGCAGAGGAAGAAGUCUUCUGUGCCUCACUAAAGACGACUCAAUCAAAAGCUUCAAGAGGUCAAACUACACUGAAGCCCAGUAAAGAUUCUGUGGCUGAAUUUUUUUCAAGCUACUUCCACUGCAGAAUAGAAACAGGAUAUUUAACAGCUCCGGGCAUUUUUGAGCCAAGGUCUUAUUGCUGCAUAUAUAGGAUUCUGCUGCCGGCAUCAGUGACUGAGCAGCUGCAGGGAUGUUCUUUUCCUCCGUGUGACAUUGAUAAAUGACCUGCAGGAAUGCUUAACAAGGUUUGGAAUAUUGUCUUACUCCCAUGGACAACAAUUCUGCAUGUAUUCUAGCAAGAGUCUUUUUUAAAAAGUCAGGGGAUUUAAGCUGUUAUAUCUCACCUCGUUUUCUGUGAUACUGGAGCAGAAAUCAGACCAGCCCCCAAUUAAAAUCUAUAGCACAGCAAUUGUAAACUCACACAAUUUGCUUUGUGAAUUCAAUAAAAGGUAUUUUAAUUUUAUUAUUAUUAUUUGC
rnacentral:lncRNA from 1 species